GACGUAGGGGACGAGCGUUGUCCGGAUUCAUUGGGCGUAAAGCGCGCGUAGGCGGUUUGGUAAGUCGAACGUGAAAUCCCCGAGCUCAACUCGGGAACUGCGUCCGAUACUGGUUGGCUUGAAUCCGGGAGAGGGAUGCGGAAUUCCAGGUGUAGCGGUGAAAUGCGUAGAUAUCUGGAGGAAUACCGGUGGCGAAGGCGGCAUCCUGGACCGGCAUUGACGCUGAUGAGCGAAAGCUAGGGGAGCAAACGGG
rnacentral:rRNA from 1 species